rnacentral:rRNA from 1 species
CAAUAGCGUAUAUUAAAGUUGUUGCAGUUAAAAAGCUCGUAGUUGGAUUUCUGGUGGGAGCGAUCGGUCUGGCGCUUAGCGCGAGUACUUGCAUCGUCUCUGGCCAUCCUUGGGGAAAGUCUGUCUGGCAUUAAGUUGUCGGGCAGAGGAUCCUCAUCGUUUACUGUGAAAAAAUUAGAGUGUUCAAAGCAGGCUUAUGCCGUUGAAUAUAUUAGCAUGGAAUAAUAAGAUAGGACUUUGGUACUAUUUUGUCGGUUUGCGCACCAAAGUAAUGAUUAAUAGGGGCAGUUGGGGGUAUUCGUAUUCCGUUGUCAGAGGUGAAAUUCUUGGAUUUACGGAAGACGAACUACUGCGAAAGCAUUUACCAAGGAUGUUUUCAUUAA